AUGCUCACUUCAGCAGCACAUAGACUAAAAAUUUGAAUGAUAUAGAGAGGAUUAGCAUGGCCCCUGCGUAAAGAUGACACACAAAUUCAUGAAGCGUUCCAUAUUUUU